GCCAGACUCCUACGGGAGGCAGCAGUGGGGAAUAUUGCACCAUGGGCGCAAGCCUGCUGCAGCCAUGCCGCUUGUAUGAAGCCGGCCUUCGGGUUUUAACGUACUUUCAGCUGUGAGGAAGGCGAUCCGGUUAAUAACCUUGUUGAUUGACUUUCCCCGCAGAAGAAGCACCGGCUAACUCCUUGCCAGCAUCCUCGGUAAUACGUCGGUUGCAAGCGUUAAUCGGAAUUACUGGGCGUAAAGCGCACGCAGGCGGGCUGGUAAGUCGGAUGUGAAAUCCCCGGGCGCAACCUGGGAACUGCAUUCGAAACUGGCAGGCUGGAGUCUUGUAGAGGGGGGUAGAAUUCCAGGUGUAGCGGUGAAAUGCGUAGAGAUCUGGAGGAAUACCGGUGGCGAAGGCGGCCCCCUGGACAAAGACUGACGCUCAGGUGCGAAAGCGUGGGGAGCAAACAGGAUUAGAUACCCCCGUACC
rnacentral:rRNA from 1 species